rnacentral:rRNA from 1 species
AACGAACGCUGGCGGCAGGCUUAACACAUGCAAGUCGAACGCCCCGCAAGGGGAGUGGCAGACGGGUGAGUAACGCGUGGGGAUCUACCCAGUUCUACGGAACAACAGUUGGAAACGACUGCUAAUACCGUAUACGCCCUACGGGGGAAAGAUUUAUCGGAAUUGGAUAAGCCCGCGUAAGAUUAGCUAGUUGGUGGGGUAAUGGCCUACCAAGGCGACGAUCUUUAGCUGGUCUGAGAGGAUGAUCAGCCACACUGGGACUGAGACACGGCCCAGACUCCUACGGGAGGCAGCAGUGGGGAAUAUUGGACAAUGGGCGCAAGCCUGAUCCAGCCAUGCCGCGUGAGUGAUGAAGGCCUUAGGGUUGUAAAGCUCUUUCACCGAUGAAGAUAAUGACGGUAGUCGGAGAAGAAGCCCCGGCUAACUUCGUGCCAGCCGCCGCCGUAAAAC